rnacentral:rRNA from 1 species
GAUGAACGCUAGCGGCAGGCUUAAUACAUGCAAGUCGUGGGGCAGCAUGAGUAGCAAUACUUGAUGGCGACCGGCAAACGGGUGAGGAACACGUACACAACCUUCCUUCAAGCGGGGAAUAGCCCAGAGAAAUUUGGAUUAAUACCCCAUAAUAUAUUUGAUAAGGCAUCUUAUUAAUAUUAAAGCUUCGGCACUUGAUGAUGGGUGUGCGGCUGAUUAGAUAGUUGGCGGGUAACGGCCCACCAAGUCUACGAUCAGUAGCUGAUGUGAGAGCAUGAUCAGCCACACGGGCACUGAGACACGGGCCCCGAUCCUACGGGAGGCAGCAGUAAGGAAUAUUGGACAAUGGACGAAAGUCUGAUCCAGCCAUGCCGCGUGAAGGA